GUCGGUUCGCGCAAGCUAACGUAACUUGACGUACCAGCGGAGGAGCACGAGGUGUUCCACUAAACUACCUUGUUCGACUGAGAACAUCGCGGCUAACGAACGUACGCUAGCUAACGUAACUUGACAGUGAUCUCCGGUGCUUCUCUGUUGGUUCACGGGCAGCGCCCGGUGUUUAUGCUUGACUAUUCACGUCACUCGCAUCUCUGGCAUUUCUUUUGUUUUUGUGCACGUCAAAUAAAAACCACGUUAUUGUUAGACCCUGUAUGGAAAAUCCUAGAUAGAUAGUGUUUUACGGUGGUGUUAUUGAGACUUGCAUGUAAGCUGCAUAAAUGAAAUGUUUAGAUAUGCCACCAACAAAUUAUGUAUUGUCAACUAUGUUUGUCAGUGCAUUAUACCAGCGGUUCCUAACCUGGGUGUCAGGACCUCACAGGCUGUUGCAUGGGAAUCACAACGUGUUGUGGGAAGAGUCCUUAAGUAAGAAAUAUCAAAGAACAGCACAGAAAAAUCUUGUUUGAAGAAAUAAAAUGAAAUAAUUGACAGUAAUUGUACUAUGGCAUAGCAUUUGCAUCAACCUAUCUCCACUAAAAAAAAGUAUUUCUGAAAAGGUGGCCAACCAGUAACAUAUUUUUGGACUCAUUUAAAGGUUAAGAACCACACAUUAUAUAUUUUUAGAAUGAGAAAAAUUGUGCAAAGAAUGUGUUUGUAAUAGCAUUCAAAACUCAGUCUUUCAUUUUCUUCUCUUCUCUGAUGAAUAGGGAAAUAGUUACCGGUCCUUUUUUAGUCAGUGUUCUUUCAAAUCAAAUAUUUACUUUUAGUUUUACAUCGCAUACAAAAAUGGAAAACAUGCAAUUUUAAAGCAGUGUUAGCUGUAGUCCAUGAUCAUGUUUUGGUCAGCUAAUAGUAAUUAACUUGUUAUAUUAAUUAGUAAGUAAUAGUAAUUCUGUCUUUAAAGUUUUAGAUGUUGGUCUAAACUUUGUCAUUUUUUUCUUUGCCUUUUAGGUUGCUGGUUCCAAAAUAAUCUGGAAGUGUAAAUUGUGCGCAGCUUCUUGCACCUCCAGAAUACAGUUAUUUAGACACUGUAGGCUGCAGCACAGCCACUUUUCCAGAAUCAGCCCUCUUCCAUGCCUCUACACCGAUUGCAUUUGCACGUUUCAGACACUUAAUUCACUGAGUACUCAUUUAUCAAUAUAUCAUACAGCACAACCUAGCAUUUGUACAGAGCAGAGUCAGGGGCCUGUGUUAUUCAAAUGCCCCUUAUGCACAUUUCAGCAACCCUUUUCUAAUUCAGCCGUUUUCAGUCAUCUCAGAAAGCAUUUGAAAAAUCAUGAAACGGUGACAUGCCCAUAUAAGGAUUGUAGCUAUAUCACAAAUGUGUACUCCUCGUUCAAUUCUCAUAAAAGUAGAGAACACCAAGCAGGUCUUGCAUCUGACUUUCAAACUGAUAUUGUCAGUGAGGAUCCCCAUAUUCUUCAAGCCAGUAUUUCUGAGGAAACUAGUGAUUCGCAUGAAGAAUGCCCAGACCAGAGCAGAGAAGUGGGGAACGGUGAUCAGUGUGACACUGGCAGUCUAAGAAAUCAACUUAAAACAAAUUUACAAAUUUAGCUUCUUUAUUUCUAAAGAUGCAGGCUAUCCUUCAUGUCUCGAACACAGCUAUUCAGGAAAUAGUAGACCACUUGAAUCAGAUCUUCUGAGGUAAUAUGGAUCAUCUCUCUUUAAGUGAAAAUUGUGAUUCUUAUUCAUUUGACCGCUAUUGUCGGCUUAAUAAAUGUGCUAGAUUCUUCAAAUUGAAUGUUUUUUUAUUUGUUGCUGUUAUUUCAAUGUAGUUGUAUGCAGAGUUCCAGAGGAUAACCAAUCAGAACCUGCCCAACUGAUUCUAUGCUGAGCUUGACCGCCAUCUUCCACGACUAAUGACUUUAUUUAGGCAGAAGGCAUCAAGAACUGGAAAGACAGCAGAUGCUCUGGCUGAAAUUUUAAAAAUCCACGAUGAACAGGAAAACCAGGACAUACACACCAAACGUACGACUGUUCUCCACGGCCUUCCUGUCUAUCUGUGCGAGGAUGUAUCUGGAUUCUUCAGAACCUGCACAGACGAGUCUGAUGAGCCAGAGCUUGAUGGGGUUGCAGUGGGCCUCCUUACUGUCACCAGUGACAAUAACACAAGUGCAGUUCACUACCACCCUGUGAAAAUCUCUGUGAUUAUUGAAAGUGAUGUCAUGGUUAGUCUCCCCAGACUUGGCGAUGCCUUCCUGGUAGUCUUUGGAUUCAUGUAUGCACUACACCUCAGCUACCCCAAAGCACUUACCAAGACUUUUGAGUUCAUUCAAAAGAUCUUGCUUGGCCUAGAAAGUGGCAAACUGUCACCGAAGUUGCAGACCCUCAAGAAUGUUUUGAUGACCUAGAAACGGAAGGCUGCAGCGCUAUACCAUUAUAAAAGUUUCAACAUGUUCAAGUUAAAAGGUCUAUGAUCACGUCUUGCAGCUUUGCAAUGCAGCGCCAUCAUGUGAUCUGUUCAUGUAUGUUAUUGUGUUGUGUAUUAUGGAGGAAAAAAAGGCAGAGGUCAUGGUUCUCGGUUUGUUAUCUUUGUGCAGAUACAUUUUUUUUAAAUUCUUUUAUGCCUCAUGUACGUGUUUCCUGUUAAUGUCAAUUUAUCAACAAUAUUUAACCCACUAUAGCGGUAAAGAUCAUCAUUAUCUUUUAAACGUAAAGAUACAAUUUAUUUUGGAAGUUUAACUUUGGUUGCAAAGUUGAAAUGUUUCAUUUGUUGUGCCCAUAUUCAUUCAAAUAAUUAAAAUGAUCAGCCACUAUAAAGAUGGAAGUUUUUCUUUUUUUCCUGAAAAUGUUCUGAAACAGUUCUGUUGUAUUUAAUCCAAAAUGCUGCACUAUAUACUCAGGAAGCCAAGAGCAGUGUUUUUUCGCUAUAAC